UACAGAGACUGCAAGCGUUAUUCGGAUUCACUGGGCGUAAAGGGUGCGCAGGCGACCAAGUGUGUGAGGCGUGAAAGCCUGGGGCUUAACUCCAGAAUUGCACCUCAAACUACAUGGCUAGAGCAUUGGAGAGGGUAGCAGAAUUCACGGUGUAGCAGUGAAAUGCGUAGAUAUCGUGAGGAAUACCAGAGGCGAAGGCGGCUACCUGGACAAUUGCUGACGCUCAGGCACGAAAGCGUGGGGAGCAAAAGGG
rnacentral:rRNA from 1 species